GGAGGGGAAUGAUUUAUCUGUCUGAUGAGGAGUUGUGGUAGGCACACUGAGGUGAUCUGGGAGAUGACUGUUGGAAGCCUGUCGCAGAGUCGACUCCUGCCAAGAGUGCUAUCCUCUUACCUCACACAGGUCUCUGGUCCUUUACCUUUGAACCCAGGCCCAGCAGCCCAUCUCUGAUCUACAGAAGGUCUCCUCUUACCCCCAUCCCCUUUGCAGGCCCCCAUGAUAGAUGACCAUCAACAUGCCAAUACUGCACAAUAUUUCAAUUUCCUGCCCAGGAAGAGGAAUUUUAGGGGUUGAGUGAAGUUCAGAAGCACAGUGUGGUGCCUCCAGCUCGCAACCAGCCCCCAUCCUUGUGCCGAAGACCAGAGACCCAAAUAUUCAGCUGAGAACAUUCCAGAAACCAGGUCCUCUCUGUGUCAACAAAACAACCCCUGUCGCCAUCGUCCUGCUUGACAGACAGCAGCGCAGAGGACACUGACAGGAGACCUAUCAGCCUCAGCCCUGGGAAGAAAAAGAGGAGAGCAGAAGAGAAGAAGGCCACUGUUUGCUGCUCGACUUUUGAAGCGUCUUUAUCGGGCUUGGCAGCGUGGUCCUGCGUGUCCAAGCCUCGUCGUGCUUUUCAUCCUUUGUGCUGUCCAAGGACCAGUUAGUCUGACUCUUGUGAAGGUCAGUACUGAAUCCUGGCCUGCUAUAAGACCAGACCAAGAAGAAGUGAGAAGGCCCCUCUCUUUACCAGGGAGUGGCAGCACAACGUGGAGAGGCUUAACACACACUCACACAUAAACGCACACACAUAUGCACUUCAUGUCUGUGAUUAUUCACAUCCGCAAGCAUGCGCACAUGCACACACACACACACACACACACACACAUACACAAUCUGCCUCACCCUCACAUAGACAUACGCAUACAAAAGCACACCUGUCAGGGCCUUUCCACUAUGUGAGCAAAAGCAAAGAAGUCUGGCCCCCCCUCUGUCUCUCUGUAUGUGGUAUCCCAUGUCUGUUAUAUUAAAGCAAAUCUAUUCAGUUCCCACUUUCUCAUCUGAAAUA